CAGCAGCCGCCGCGGUAAUACGGAGGGGGCUAGCGUUGUUCGGAAUUACUGGGCGUAAAGCGCACGUAGGCGGCUUGGUAAGUUAGAGGUGAAAGCCUGGAGCUCAACUCCAGAAUUGCCUUUAAGACUGCCGAGCUAGCAGGUGAGAGAGGUAAGUGGAAUUCCGAGUGUAGAGGUGAAAUUCGUAGAUAUUCGGAAGAACACCAGUGGCGAAGGCGGCUUACUGGCUCAUACUGGACGCUGAGGUGCGAAAGCGUGGGGAGCAAACAGGAUUAGAUACCCGGGUAGUCCCUGUCUCUUAUAC
rnacentral:rRNA from 1 species